rnacentral:rRNA from 1 species
CGUGUAGGCGGCUCGGUAAGUCUGCUGUGAAAGUCCAGGGCUCAACCCUGGGAUGCCGGUGGAUACUGUCGAGCUCGAGUCCGGAAGAGGCGAGUGGAAUUCCUGGUGUAGCGGUGAAAUGCGCAGAUAUCAGGAGGAACACCAAUGGCGAAGGCAGCUCGCUGGGACGUGACUGACGCUGAGACGCGAAGCGUGGGAGCAAACA